rnacentral:lncRNA from 1 species
UUCCAAGUUGCCAUGUUGACAUCAUGAGAUGGAAGAUUAUGCAUACAGAACAUUGAUGGAGAUGUUUUCAGAUUUGGAGCAUGUAGGGCGUGUUGUGUCUCAGUGGCAACGAUCGAAACCGUACAAAGAUGCAUACAGAUUGUAGAUGGACGCGUUUUCAGACUUUGAGCAUGUCGGGGUUACCAUGAAAACGUACCUCCAGACAGAAGCAAUGGUAUAAUGGGUGACAGACAUUUAAAUGAACAAAGUUAUAUAGCAGAUUUUGGACAGUAUGGGUAACCGUGGAAACGCACCUCUACAUCUAGGCAAUAGUAAAAUGGAUGGCCGACAUACAGAUGUACCGAGUUAUACAGAAGAUUUUGCAGUCUAUAGGGUUUGUAUGUUUACUGUUCCUUUCUUGUUGCGACACUUUGAUGUAUUUAUUUCUGAUUUUAAACAUGCCUUUUUGUAUCUAUACACACAACAGGGUUACCACGGAAACGUACCGCUACGUCUAGUCAAUGAUAUAAAUGGAUGAACGAUGUCCUUCAAACAGCACGUGAGAAAUCCUGCAACCGAUCACGUGAUAAGCGCUUCGCUUGCUAAGACCUGUUACAAAUGAAUUCAGACAAAACUAUAAACAAAAAUCUCGAAAAUGCAUUCGCUUAUGGAGAUCAAAAUCUACUUUGUAUGUUUUUGUUUCUUAAUAAUGUGUGUUCGGUGUUUGUUGUUUUGUCGGGGAUUUGCUUAUAGUGGCGUCUUGGUUGUGUUUGUGGUGGUGUUUGUGUUUUUAUAACUGUGUUUGUUUCGGUGUUUUAGUGUUUGUUGUUGUGUUUGUGGUGUCUUCAGUGUGAUCUUCUCGGUUGUAAAUGAUGUGGAUUUUGUUUUGUCAAAAAGUGUUUUGUGGUGCGAAUUUUUGUUUGUUUGUCAAAUUUGGUUCUUCGUCUUUCGUCCGUGUGUUUUAAUACUUUUACUUAUCCGAUCAAUUUUAGAUAACUGUAGAUAGGUACCAUGAAAACUGCAGACGACAGAUAUAAGGUGCAGGCGACAUCUGGAUAAGCACUUGCAACUGUUUUGUUUUGUCUGCUUUUAUUUAUUUUUACUUUGUAUUGCUAUUUUUUCCACUAAAAUGUUAAGGUAGUUUGAGAAUAAAGCCACAGACGGAUAUGGAAAUGCAGAUCAAACAAACUGGGCGUUUCUCUUUACCAUGCACAGGUGUGUAUAUUGCUACUUAAGUUAUCUUUUGCACGUAUUUCUCUGCAGAUUUUUCCUGAAUGGUGUCUGAUGUUGUAUACAAGCCUGUGUGUGUAUAUAUACAUUCAACCUCAAUAGGGUAACCAUGGAAAAGUACGUCUACACAUUUGCAGUUGUAUAAUGGAUGGCCGACGUUUAGAUGUACAAAGUUAUAUAGAGGAUUUUCGAGCAUAUCAUAUUAUGGUGUGUAUAUUUACAUUUUUAGCUCAUCUGAUUUUUUGAAAAAAAAAAAGAUAAGUUAUUGUCAUCACUUGAUCG